rnacentral:rRNA from 1 species
UACGAAGGGUGCAAGCGUUAAUCGGAAUUACUGGGCGUAAAGCGUGCGUAGGCGGUUUGUUAAGUCUGCUGUGAAAUCCCCGGGCUCAACCUGGGAAUGGCAGUGGAAACUGGCAAGCUAGAGUGUGGCAGAGGGUGGUGGAAUUCCCGGUGUAGCGGUGAAAUGCGUAGAGAUCGGGAGGAACACCAGUGGCGAAGGCGGCCGCCUGGGCCAACACUGACGCUGAGGCACGAAAGCGUGGGGAGCAAACAGG